rnacentral:rRNA from 1 species
AUUGAACGCUGGCGGCAUGCCUUACACAUGCAAGUCGAACGGAAGCACGGGUGCUUGCACCUGGUGGCGAGUGGCGAACGGGUGAGUAAUAUAUCGGAACGUACCUUAUUGUGGGGGAUAACGCAGCGAAAGCUGUGCUAAUACCGCAUAAUCCCUAAGGGGGAAAGCGGGGGACCGUAGGGCCUCGCGCAAUUAGAGCGGCCGAUACCUGAUUAGCUAGUUGGUGAGGUAAAGGCUCACCAAGGAAACGAUCAGUAGCUGGUCUGAGAGGACGAUCAGCCACACUGGGACUGAGACACGGCCCAGACUCCUACGGGAGGCAGCAGUGGGGAAUUUUGGACAAUGGGGGCAACCCUGAUCCAGCAAUGCCGCGUGAGUGAAGAAGGCCUUCGGGUUGUAAAGCUCUUUUGUCAGGGAAGAAACAGCAGCUCUAACACAGUUUGCGAAUGACGGUACCUGAAGAAUAAGCACCGGCUAACUACGUGCCAGCCGCCGCCGUAA